UGAUCCAAAAUAUUCCAAAAA
ensembl:piRNA 21ur-543 ncRNA